UACGUAGGGUGCGAGCGUUGUCCGGAAUUACUGGGCGUAAAGAGCUCGUAGGUGGUUUGUCGCGUUGUUCGUGAAAACUCACAGCUUAACUGUGGGCGUGCGGGCGAUACGGGCAGACUGGAGUACUGCAGGGGAGACUGGAAUUCCUGGUGUAGCGGUGGAAUGCGCAGAUAUCAGGAAGAACACCGGUGGCGAAGGCGGCUCUCUGGGCCUUACCUGACGCUGAGGAGCGAAAGCGUGGGUAGCGAACAGG
rnacentral:rRNA from 1 species